rnacentral:lncRNA from 1 species
CCCUGCUUACCAAAUGGUGGAGAUGCUAAUGAACAUGGCAAAGGUAGGCAAGGGAGAGACAGGGGAAACUGUUAGAGCAGGCGUGGAUAAACCUCACAGUGUGGAGUCUGAGCUGCUGUGCAUUACGCUGUCCUGAAUAUUCAUAACACUUAUCUCAGAAUUCUGAAUAGUUGAAAGACUUGAAGCCAAAGUAGUUGAACCUUUGAAAGCUUAUGGGACCAUUGUAAAGAUGAAACGAGAUGAUCUCAAAGCAACAUUAACAGCAAGGAAUCGAGAAGCCAAACAGUUAUCUCAGUUAGAAAGGACACGCCAGCGAAACCCAUCGGAUCGACAUGUAAUUUUUUAGGCAGAAACUGAAUUACAGAGAGCCACAAUUGAUGCUACCCGCACCACUCGUCAUCUGGAGGAAACUAUUGACAAUUUUGAAAAGCAGAAAAUAAAGGACAUAAAGAACAUAUUAUCUGAGUUUAUCACAAUUGAAAUGCUAUUUCAUGGCAAAGCUUUAGAGGUCCUCACUGCCGCCUACCAAAAUAUACAAAAAAUUG